GAGAGUUUGAUCCUGGCUCAGAUUGAACGCUGGCGGCAGGCCUAACACAUGCAAGUCGAGCGGUAGAGAGAAGCUUGCUUCUCUUGAGAGCGGCGGACGGGUGAGUAAUGCCUAGGAAUCUGCCUGGUAGUGGGGGAUAACGUUCGGAAACGGACGCUAAUACCGCAUACGUCCUACGGGAGAAAGCAGGGGACCUUCGGGCCUUGCGCUAUCAGAUGAGCCUAGGUCGGAUUAGCUAGUUGGUGGGGUAAUGGCUCACCAAGGCGACGAUCCGUAACUGGUCUGAGAGGAUGAUCAGUCACACUGGAACUGAGACACGGUCCAGACUCCUACGGGAGGCAGCAGUGGGGAAUAUUGGACAAUGGGCGAAAGCCUGAUCCAGCCAUGCCGCGUGUGUGAAGAAGGUCUUCGGAUUGUAAAGCACUUUAAGUUGGGAGGAAGGGCAGUAAAUUAAUACUUUGCUGUUUUGACGUUACCGACAGAAUAAGCACCGGCUAA
rnacentral:rRNA from 1 species